rnacentral:lncRNA from 1 species
UUGAGGUUUAACACAUAUGCAAUAUUUGGUCAAGGACCUAGGUGGAUCUUGAGGAUUUCAGACUGAGGUGGCAUACAAAAUAGAUCCAAGAUUGCGGAGGGGGAAAGGAAUCAGAAUUUUGCACCACAAUCUGCCAGCGCGAUGCCAGGGUGGCAUCCGGACACAGCAGCAGAGGUCCCGGCGCCGCAGCGCCGAGGUGGACGCAUCCGCCACUCCCGCGCCACCCCCAGGCCGACACGUUGACACAGGGCUUGCUCGCCGAAGGCUUUCCGGGAGGGCUGGAGCAGUGCGGACAGGCGCCCACGGGUGAAAGUGGCCACCACCUUCCCAGAGCGGGGAAGAAAGGAGCCGCUACUCUGAGGGGAGGCUCUUCAGUUCUAGCAAUUGAACCCCACUCCUGUGCACAUUAAGAAACCCAAAAAGGUCACAGGAUGCUCCUGUAAAGCCUUUCGUGUGCUCACUGGAAAGGAUACAGAGAUGAUGAAGAUGAAAAGGAAAAAGUAAUCCAAAUAAAAAUACAAGAAAAAGCUAAGUUGUACGAUACACAUUACUAAUUCUACAGAAAAGUGAG